rnacentral:rRNA from 1 species
UACGGGGGGGGCAAGCGUUGUUCGGAAUUACUGGGCGUACAGGGCUCGUAGGUGGCCAACUAAGUCAGACGUGAAAUCCCUCGGCUUAACCGGGGAACUGCGUCUGAUACUGGAUGGCUUGAGUUCGGGAGAGGGAUGCGGAAUUCCAGGUGUAGCGGUGAAAUGCGUAGAUAUCUGGAGGAACACCGGUGGCGAAGGCGGCAUCCUGGACCGGCACUGACACUGAGGAGCGAAAGCCAGGGGAGCAAACGGG